CCGCCAUUUUGUGUCGGAAAUGCUGCAGUAUUUUACGCUUUGCGAUGGUUUUAUACACCUUUUCCAAGAGGUAGAUGUAUUAUUUUUGACUUGAUUAGCGUGGUGUCUACAAUAUUGACAGAAGAUGUACAAAGAGAGCUCUCUAGGCAAGGGAUUUGUUUGUGAUUCUCUUUAAAAGACCUUCGAUCAAGUCAAAAUGUUACAGUCUCGUGUACAAGUUCAAUAUAUCUCACACAACUGUGCAUGAACUAUUUUUUGGAUUCAUGGAUGAAAAAAUUGAAGAAGAAAAGAACAAAAUAAUAUUCUCUGGUUGGAAACUAUGCAAGUCUAGUUGUCAGGCUGACAUAUUUGUCAUGUAUCAAUCAGUUUUGAUACACACUACCUAGUUCACAUUGUUUACAAGGAAUAACCAUGGAUGAUCCAUGAUGCUGGAAUCAAAUUUACCUACAUUUUGUAAUUUCCACAAUUUCUGGACAGGAAUAGAAAGCUCACAAGGUUUUUGGAGUGUUAUUUUUACUAGAAGCACAAGAAGCCCGAGCCAUAACUUUGAUUAGACUAAAUGAUUGCACAUAAAAURAAACUGUAUAUUUCUUGACAAAAUUUGUCGUACACACGAAGAGGACCACUUACCAGCKGAAUUAAGAAGAUACAAUUUUGUCAAGAAAUAUGAAUAUAUACGUCGCUAUGGCUACUCAUGUCACUGAGAACUUUAUUUAAUUUUUUUUACUUAGAAGCUUUAUUUAAAUUUUUGAUGAAAAUAUUCAAACUAAUAAAUAUAAGUAGAAUGAAAUAGAACAAAACACCAACUUGAAGCUAUAAUAACUCUGUUUAUUGGACGUUUCGGCACUUCGGCCUUCUUCAGCAAACUAAUAAAUAUAUGUAUAUAUUUGUGUGGACAUUUGUAUGAUCCUUUUCUAAGGGAAAGGUUCUUGAGAAAAGAAUGAUAAGUUGGGUAAGGGGGCCUGGGAUCUAUGAAAGGCCUAUACAGUUAAAUUGACUGCGAUAGGUUCCCAAAAGUAUCUAAAUUUAACAAAUUGUGCACAGUUUUGUUUGACGGUAAAAAAUGUUCAAAACUCACAAAAAACCUGUGCAAUUUGUUUUUGUUUUUUUUUUACCAUUCAACAMAGUGUGCAUAUCGCGAAAAAUUUACAAAAAUGUGGUGAUAAAUCAAUUUACCCUACGCUUAUGAAAAAUUACUAUAUGCAUUUACAUUACAACUUAACUCUAUCAAAUGAUAAACUAUGUAAUUUUAUUGAUCAUUUUGGUACUUCAACCAAAUAUUGUGAAUAAACUGAAUUGAAUU